AAUUACAACUUCUUUUGUCAUGCUUAUCUUUUUGCUCUUUUUGGAUAUCCCAGGAUUUUUUAAUUUUGAAUCCAGACUGUGCUUCAAAACUCACAGAAAAUUGGAUACCUGUGUUUAAGGAUAAGAUUCUACAGUUUGCCAGCAAAGAGAAACAAGCUCUUGAACUACUUCAAAACAUUGAAAUGAUGUCAGCAGAGAGACAGAGUGACUUUGCUGUGCAAGUCCUGCCAAUAGUCCUUCCAACACGUGUACAAAAUGGGCAGAAAAAUGUGCAGACCAACUUUCCUAGAAACCAGGAAGGCCUUCAUAGACAUACAGCCUAUUGGGACCAAUAUGGCUGAGUAUCUGCUUUCAAAAGAGUCCACUGAAUUCCCUUACAUUCUCAUGCUUGGAGACAACCAGUGCUUUCAAGCCUUCACCAUUAUAAAUGGUGCAGCACUUCAGCAAAGUACAUUACUGGCUGCACUGGAUGUUUGCUUUAAAGCAUUCUACAUCUUUGAUAUAAACUACCCCAAGCAGUGUUCCCUGGUGUGGCAGUUUCUACAGACUGUGGUGUAUGGACUUCCUGGGGAGGAGACACCAGCAGUAAGAGUUCUGCGAGCAUUCAUUUUUGCAGACAAACUGUAACUUAUUUAUUUACUUUUUAUUUUUAUUUUUUUUAUUAGUGUGACCUGACUGCUUUAUUGGAUUCUGUGUUCUUUAACUUGCACACUGUUACAUGAAAUGUUUACAUAUUUCAUAUAUUUAAUUCUAUUUUUCUUAUACAACAUUACAAUUACAUUGCAAUUGAUGAG